CAUGGACAGGCGCGCGCUCACGGCCGCCAGCAGCUGCGCGGGGCUGCCCCUGCUAAGGCUGUCGCUCUUGUGGGGAUGUGAUGAAGUUGGUACGGCGGCAUUUCCAUCGCUGCGACCGGAGAUGCCAGCAGCAGCGGCAAGAGCAGAGGUGGCGGUGGCGGCCGUGCGGCGCCGCGACGGCAGAUGGCCGAUGGCACCACCGUCGGCGGGUGUAGCUGAGCCGUGUGUGCCCGAGGAUGGGGUGUUGGAGGCUGUGACAAUCUCACGCUCUGGGUGCAACAGGCCGCCGCCGCUAGAGGCGCCGGGAGCAGCAGCAGGCUGAGGCGUUGCAGCGGUGACAGUGCGGGCAGCAGCAGCGUCGGCACCGGUGGAUGAGCGGGCGGCGCCUUGCAUCUCCUGCUGCUCCGCCUCCUGCUGGUGUCCAUCCUCAAGGGACUCGGCAAUGGCGCGCGGCGCUUCACGCCGCACCUGCUGCGGUUGCGGCACCUGCGCUGCCGGCGCUGCCAUGUGCGACUGCUGCGGCUGUAGCGGCAUCAUGACGAAGAGCUCGGACAGGCGAUUACGGCCGGCGCUGGCGGCUAGCAGUAGCGCACGGCGUGUGCUGCCCACCCACCAGAUGGUCAUGACGUAGAUGCCGCCCGCGGACACCGCCAGGCUGAACCAGGCUCCCUCAGGCACCUGCAUGCGGGCGUGCGUGGGUGCACGUUUGCACAUGUACCAUGCAUUGUGGUAGCAGCAGUUGCACCAUCCAACAGCAGCCAUCCGCACCGCAUUGGUUUUUAUGCGCACACACACAGUGCUUGCGCACUCGCGGAUACACACACACACACACACGCACACACACACACACACACACACACACACACGCACGCACACACACACACACACACACACGUGGCGCGCACACGUGGCGCGCACAUAGAUGCAAUGGCCAUCCACAUGCCGUACCUUUGCCAUGUUAGAGGACAGGAAGGCUAGCUCAAUGAUGAGGAAGACCAGCGCGAAGGGCGCGACCAGUGCCAGGCUGACCUCCCAUACCGCCACCAUCACGACCAGGAUGAGUAGGGUGGUCAGCACGAACACACUCGACACGGCCAGACCGUAGGCCAGGCCCAGGGCUACCGUGUCCUGCGGGCGUGAUGGUGGUGGUGGUGGUGGGGGUUGUUUCAAACAGAGGGUCAGGCGAAGGGUGCAGGCGAGUGCCCAAUCCGCCCAGCCAAGCACAAAGUAAGAUGGAGUGUGAUAAAGCGACUAUGACAGCGAAGCGGUCGAGGGCCUCAGCUGCCCGCCUACUCAUCAUACAUUACCCCACCUUGAAGCCGGCCACCACGCCAACGCACAGCAGCAUGAGGGUCCAGUUGAUCUCCGCCACAUACACCUGGCCGCGCACGUGCUCCGAGGUGUGCAGCACAGACAGCUUGGGGAAGGCGCCCAGCUUGAUGGCCUGCGGGCGGGCGGGCGCGUGGUGGAUGGGUGGGGUAGUGAAUGUGUGGUGGGCGUGCAAGUGUGUGUGUGUGCGUGCGUGUGUGUGUGUGUGUGUGUGUGUGUGUGUGUGCGUGUGGGUUAGUCCUUUCCAGAACCCAAAAGCAAGCCAACCAAGUAAGUGUGUUGUCAACGUUUGGCGUGAGAACGUACGUGUGUGAAGUGCGACGUGGCAAGUGUUCUUAAUCAGUUGUAUGUGUGGGUUUCUUUUCUGUGUCCGUGUUCAUUCACAGGUGCACGCCGCUUGCUCGUCGUCACGUACAUUUGAAAUGAUUGAGAAGCAGCCGGUGAUAAGCGCCUGGCUGGCUACCACGGAGGCCAGGGUGGCUAGGACCAGCAUGGGAUAGAAGAAAGGCCUGCGAUCAGGCAACAGAACGGCCGCCGCACAAAACAAGCAGAAUUGCACACACAGGCACAACGGCUAUGGCCGCGGGGGGCACUUCCAGCAGCGAGCGAGAGGGCCAUCGGUAUCAAAACGCCUCAACGAGCCUUCUGGUGCAAGGGUCAUGCAGCAGCAGUAGUGUUAGCGCGACUCGCUCGCGCUCACCUGGGCACACACUUCCAAAAGGUGUCUGACACGUCCUCCGGCCGCGACAUGAGGUAGGCGCCCUGACCCACAUACGUCAGCACCAGGCACGGGUACACGAAAAGGCAGAAGCCGACCUGCAUAUCGCAGCGGCGGGACCCGGGGCGGGGUGGGGUUUGGAGGACGCGAGAGGUGGAUGUGGGCAAUGCAAGGAUGGGGCAGGUGCGUGUGCAUGCGUGUGCGCAUGUGAGAUGGUGAGGUGUGGCUGAUGCAUGUACAAGGGCGCGUGCGUACUGGGCUCCCAAGUAGUGCUGCCAGCAGAGGCCUCGCUUCCCCUCCCCCAGCCACGCGCGCACCCCGCCGCCGCACCCACCAGCACGGAGCGGUGCGUGAAGUGCCCCAGGUCCGCGUACAGCGCCUCGGCGCCCGUCACGCACAGCAUGACGGAGCCCAGCAUGCGCCACGCCUCCACACCGCGGCGCGCGAAGAACAGCGGGAUGUGGUGCGGGCUCAGGCCUGGGCGGGUGGUGGAGCGGCGGCGGCGUAGGGGGGGGGUUGUUUCCACCGUGUAUGGGGACGACAGAGGUUGCGGCGGGAAGGCGUCAGUCGUGACACGCAUUGACGAAUGGCCGCAAUUGGAACGCAGUUGCAUCAUGGGUCCAAUAGAUGUGGAGCAGACAGUGUGCAGGCCCCCGGGAGGAAGCUGCUGAGCGGGGCUGCUGCGCACGCACGCACCCGCCAGCGCGCCGCCGCCGUGCAGGGCCAGGUUGUAUGCUGCCACUCCCGCAUUGGCACACAGCCACAACGCCACGAUGGGCGCAAACGUGGAGGACACCUGCACACGCAUACAUGUGUAUGUGUGUGCAUGUGUGCAUAUGCGUGUGCGCGUGUGCGUGCGCGUGCCCCGCUUAGUGGUCAGGCGCGCACGUUGAGUCAACAAUACGCACGCGCGCCUCACCAAUGACGUGCGCGCAGCUGACUGCACGGAUGUGGAUGUGCUCCUGCCCAUUCUAUUAUAUAUAUUCUAUUGCCCACCCACCCACCCGCCCACCCACGCACUGACCCACCUUGGAGGUGCCGCAUCUUUGCACACUGAACCUAUUGCCCACCCACCCAUCCGCCCACCCACCCACUGACCCACCUUGGAGGUGCCGCAUCUUUGCACACUGAACAGCAGCACCAGCACCGCAAUGCUCACGCCCACCACCGUCUGCUGAGUGACCGCGUCAGUCGCCUCCUUGAGACCAGACACAGCUGACAUGACUGCAUGCGCGCGCGCACAGGGAGUGCGUAAGGAAAGGCGCAGGAGCGUUAACCGCCACAUGACAGGUACCUGUAAUUUGGCAGCAGUGCACGGAUGCGUGCACGCGGCCCCGCGCGCCCUGGAGUGAGUGAGCCAUCCAACACCAGAUGGCAGCACGCGCACACGAAACCCGUGCGUGUGCCCGCACCCACCUGAGAUGGCGGGUGUGAGCACGCCGUCUCCCAGCACCAUGCCAGUGGCAGCCAUGGUCAUGCCCCACAGACCCAUCUGCGCCGCCCGGUUGCGCCGCAGUGCCGCCCGCACUGCAGUGCCGCUGGCAGCCCAGCGGCGCCACCACACACGGCGCGGCUGCUGCGGGUGUGGCGCCGCUGGGCCGGCGAAUCGGCGGGAUGCUGAUGUGGCAAGGGUGAGAGUAGUGUCGGGGCCCCGAGCGGCGUCUUCGGGCGUGGCGCUGAGGCGGCGCAGCGUGCCAUCACCGUUGACUCCGAGGCCGGCGACGCGAGUCCCGCUGCCGCUUGCGCGGGGCAAGGUGCGGGCUUGGCUGCCGCCGGUGCUGGAAGACCCGAGGUUUCGCAUCAUGCGGCUCUCGCCCCGAAACAUGACGUCGUGGGGGCGGAUGCCGAUCUUGCGGCAGAGCAGCGAGUACAGCGAGAACGUCCCACCUGAGGUGCGAGGAUUACGAAAGAGGAGGCAGGAGCGAGGGAAGUAAGCCGCGGGCGUUACCACGCACCAUCAAGCAUACAUGUCAGAUGAGAAGCACAGGCCUGGUGCGGUGCUUGACGUGUGAAUACUGACACUCGCAGGCUACAUGGUCGUAGGGAAAGGAGCAGGAACCCGUUGCGACGCCGAGCUACCCCGCCCUUGACCCCGCCCCAUCGGCACCCCUCCCUGAUGAGUCCCUGCUCACCCUCUCCUUCAUCGUCGGCCAGGAGCACCACGCCCACAUACUUGACCAGCACGAUCAGCGUCAACGUCCAAAAGAUGAGGCUGAUUGCGCCCAGGAUGUCGGCCUGUGGGCAUUUCAGUGUCAUAUCAACCUGGUGCACAGGAGUGGGCCCCCCGAGGGAAGGGACGGGGAAGGCGGGUUCCGCGCGAGCCGAGCCUAACAGAAUUGUUCGCAUCCGGAACUUCCGGCUGCUUUCCAGGCGCGCGUUAUGUAUGAGUGGAUAUCGAACGGUCGCGGCCUUGCGCUCCAUGCGAUCGAUCAUGUCAAAGCGCUGAAAUGAGCAUCGGACGGGCGACUCGCGAAGACUGGCUCACCUGGCUUGGCUCCGAGCUGGAAAAUAUCGUGCUGUACACAUACAGGGGGCUGGUGCCAAUAUCGCCAUAAAUGCAGCCCAGCGAGCCCCAGGCCAGUGCCGCAGUCACAGCGAUGGUUUCUUUCUGCAGCGAGCAAAGGACCGUGAGCACAGGCCGUGAGCAGCAUUGCAGACCCACUUGCAUACUCAUAUGCAAGCGCAGAGCCGACAUACCUUCUUGGUGAAGGUGAUGCCGCCCAAGCCCUCCUCGUCACGCUCUUCAGGCUCGGAAGCAGCGGGUUUCAUCUUUGUAGUCUUACGGGCGCAACGUGUGAAAGAAGUCUGUGCGCUGAUAUGGCCUGAGGCGCCUGCUUGACCGGUUCGCAAAAGGCCCGCCCGUACGGUGCACGUUCCUCCAUGUGCGCGUUCGCGGGCGGUCCAAGGCGGGACGAGCUGAAGCCCCUCGCUCCACGCAAUCAAGGCAAACAACGCAUUUAAUUCAACGCGCCCAUUGCACGCGCCAUGUUACUCGCCGGCGCGGCACCACUCGCCGGCGCGGCGCUCUGCGUGCCGCGAAACCUCUCACGCAAUCCGGCCACGCCCGCAAUUCCCACGAACCACUGGCGUAACGUUCAAAGCCGGGGAACAACAAUACGCGCACGUAGCUUGCCGCACACAGCUGCUCAGUCAGUCAUCCUCCUCGAGGUCCGACUGCCGCUACGGCCUGCUGCUGGCGAUCCGCCUCCGCUUUGGCCGGCUGCUGCCGCCUGCUUUACCGCCACCCACUGUGCCGCCGUAAGCGCCAGCAUCAUCGCCUCGGGCGUGUGCUGCCCAACACCCACGCCGUGCUGCUGCCCAAGAAGUCCAACGGCGGCAAGGGCCAGGAGAGUCCCAGUCUCCGAGUCCCUAAGCAAUUUCAUUCCCACUUGGCACUCUAUCAACAAACUCGGUGUUUCUUAACACUACCUCUCAUUGCAGCACACCGAGGCUUGGGUUUCCUAGUUGCCCCAUGGGACAGGCCUUCCGUGGGGUUGACAGGCUUCCACACGCACAUGUAGCAUGUGCACAGUCUAUGCAGCGGCGGCAUUGUAAACACCCAAACAGCCGCGCAGUGCGUGCUGCUUGCGAAUGAACCCCCCCCCCGCAAAAUCCUCAUGCGCACUCCUGCACAGUAAGCCGCCGUCUGGCAUCGCAUGUGGAGAAUGGACAACUUGACUUCACCUGUUGACAACGCGCUCCCUUGAACACAUCUGUGAAUCCCGCCCGUGCGAUUUGAUGAGAGCGCCAGCGCGGCCGAGCGGUGCGCACGAUUACACACCACGGGACCAGUGAAAGGUAUAGGCCGUGGCACCAGGUUGGCCAAUGCACGCACGCACGUGCUGCACAUGAAGCAAACGGCCCAGCGCGUUCAGCACGGACCUGCCGGCCUCAUCAUGAACCUCACACCAGACACUACGCAUUUUGAAGUGGAGGGCUGCUGAGGGCGAGCUUCGUAAUCGUGACAAUUACCAACGAAGUACAACCUUCUAAAACUCCCAUUGUAAGUCAUGACCACCGUCAGAUCACCGUCUUGCUCACGUUUGCAUGCGUUUCAUCACCUGGGGAGGGCAAAUGGAUAUUGGGGGGCAAGCGGCUGUGCCCUGACUUGGGCGGCGUGCCUAACCCGCCGGUCGCAUGCCGCUUCCCUUGGCCCCAGCCCCGCGGCCGUCUAGCUAAUUUCCCGCCGCCUAUCAACCAAGAGGGGUCUGCCGGCCAUUCCUGAUAACCGGACAGAGACCACCCCCCGGGACGAAAAGAAAAGAAUGACUCAAAACCGCGCUAGGUAGCAAGCCUCCAUGUGCGUAAAGCAAGUAGGGUGGGAAACGACAAAUAGCCCUCGGCACCAGAGCCGUUCACGGCUAAAAUGCCAAACGCAAAGUAAAAUAACAACUCCCACGAUGACGGUGCAUCAAGUACGGUCCGUCUUCCAAGCCGCGUUCACGCACGGCGGUUAGUUCUCACUGCCGUUCUCUCCUCGGCCUUCGCCUACCCUCACCAGCCCAUAGCUUCCUUCCCCCUCAAAACCUGUUCCGUUCCAGUUUACCUAGAAGCUCCACUUAAAACCACCAUUUUAGUACAGCUCCGUGAACGCUACCGUACUCCCGAUACCAACGCGGUAGCCGCCCCUGCUGCAGAGCUCAUACGGUGCGCUAACGUCAGCUCCUCUUAACAAUCACCUAGUCUCCUUCUCGCCCAUGCCUGCCCCCAUCAACCCUGUCCCGUGCUCCUGCUUCUAUCCUGGGUUCCCAUCUGCCCCCUACCCAAUCCUGAGCACCAUGCCCAGCUCCACCACGUGCUCGUACGGCAGCCGCCAGUCCUCCACCUCGCUGCGGCUCAGCCCCAGCAGCAGGCGGUAGGUGGCACCGAACAGCAGCUGCGCCAGAAGGGGGCUGCCGGGCUCCGGCCGCACCCGCACAGCGCCCAGGUAGUACACCACGCCUGCGGUAUGGCAGUUGCGCUUAUGGUUAUGUUUGCGGUGGCGGUUUGGCGGUGGCGGCGGGUUCGGUUUUCGUGUGCGGGGGCUGAGGUGCAGAAUCAAAGGGAGGGAUUAGACACAACACCCGCAAGUUGCUAGCAUUUACUCACCGUGUCGGGCGGCCUCCAACACGUGCGCCACCGCUGCCUCGUCCACAACCACCCGCCCACCCGAGGGCAGCUGGGAAGUGACGCCCAGCGCCGCCCGCGCCAGCCGCGGCCGCGACCGCGAAGCCUGGAGCGCCGCCGGUGCAGCAGGCAGCGACACAGGCGGCGGCGCGCCGGUGGAGGGGCUGGGAAGCGCUGCUGGCGGUUGGGGUGCUGGCGCGUGGUCGGCCCGCACCUGUGCGGUAUGCGCCGCCACCACCACCACCUCGCUCAGCUCCACGCCGCCAGUGCCUCCCGUGUUGCCACCAGCAGUGCCUACACCUCCACCACUGACAUUGCUGCUGUGCGCGACGGCUGCGGACACACCCGGAACAGCCUCCACCUCGUCCUCGUCCUCUGUAUCGGAGUCUUCUUCCACAGCCGAGUUGUAGCCUCGGUCGCUGCUACUGCUGCUGCUGCUGAUGAAAUCAACUUCCCCAGGCUGUAGCACCAUGCCGCCCUGCCGCGACAGGCCCAUGCCGUAGAGUGACCACCCUCCCUGCGGCUGCUCCGGCUGCUGUCCCGCCUGGCCCCCCUGCCGCUCCUGCUCCUCUCCAGCAGGCGCAGAAACGCCGCCCACGCCACGCCUGCUGGCUGCCGCUGACAGCCGGCUCCCCCGAUGGCCGUUGCUGCGCCGGUUGCGGGUCACGAAGCGGAAGCCACCUGCACCGCCGCCGCUGCUCCCACUGCCGCUGCCCGCGAUACCGUCUCCAGCUGCUGCCGCGGCAGCGGCGGCAGUAUCAGCACCAGUGCCGCCGCCGGUCGCUGCCACCACUGUCGAGACGUCGGCGGCUACUGCGGGUCCGCCGCGGAGCACACGCACAAUGCCGCUCACCACCUGAAAGGCGCAAGUAAGACAUGUGCAAGGGACUCAAGUACAGGGCGACGGAAAUCAUUGGCAGGGCGAGUCGUCCCGACAGGGGAGUGGUGAUUUGCAUGCAUGACGCGGUUGGGAGUGAGGAGUUCAGCACGCAACACCGGUCCCAGCAGGCACCAGCUCCAACACAACGCAACUCCAGACGGCCCCAUCUAUCUACCUGGCGGAUGAAGGCCGCGCCGUGAUCCACUCGGUCCAUGUAGCCGUAGCGCGCCACCACCUGGCAGUAGCAGCAGGAGCAGCGGUAACGGCAGUAAGCAACGGCAGUAGCACCAGUGUUGGCCGCAGCAGCACUUGGCAAGUACCGUACGGUCAACCCUUGCCUGCCACGGCUGCAUUCCCACAACGCUACUUCCACCCUUUCCCAUGUAUGACUGCUGGAUGGGUAGGUGCCAGCCAGCUGCCGCUGCUGCACGCCCCGACACCCACCUGGUAGAAGUUGGGGAAGGGCGCCAGCUGGCGGACCAGCAGCCGCUCCACCGGCUGCACGUGCGGCAGCGGCACCACCCGCACGGUCAGGAACACAGACACGUCGUGCACCGACUGCCGGGGGGCGAGGGGGGGAGGCGACGAAAAGAUAGUGGGAAGGGGAGGGGUUAGACAAUAGCGGGUUAAGUAAGAGGAAUGUUGCACAUGAGCGCACACACGCACACACACACACACACACACACACACACACACACACACACACACACACACACACACACACACACACACACAUGGCAAUGCACCGCUCGUCCGCAGUCCCCGCCCACAUUGCCCUCAUUCCGCAUGCUCCCUUCCCGUCGGUAGAUUCCCACCCCGCACGAACCACCAGGCCGCCACCCCACUAUCUACCAGCGGUGCCCACCUGCACAUUCCGCAGGAAGUGGAUGAGCACGUGCGGCAGCCCCACCGGCGUCUCGCUGUAGUACAGACCAAUGCCCGGCUGCCGGGACAGAGGCCACAGCUGCUGCUGCUGUUGCUGCUCGGCACCCGCCCCAUCCGCGCCCAGUCCCAGGCCCUGACUUCCCACUGCGGCGGACCCAUCGGCACCCAGCAGCGGCUGUGGCGGCAGGCGUAGCGCCAGCUGCACAGGCCGCCACAUGGACAGGCGCGCGCUCACGGCCGCCAGCAGCUGCGCGGGGCUGCCCCUGCUGAGGCUGUCGCUCUUGUGGGGAUGUGAAGUUGGUACGGCGGCAUUUCCAUCGCCGCGACCGGAGAUGCCAGCAGCAGCGGCAAAAGCAGAGGUGGCGGUGGCGGCCGUGCGGCGCCGCGACGGCAGAUGGCCGAUGGCACCACCGUCGGCGGGUGUAGCUGAGCCGUGUGUGCCCGAGGAGGGGGUGUUGGAGGCUGUGACAAUCUCACG
rnacentral:lncRNA from 1 species